rnacentral:rRNA from 1 species
GACGAACGCUGGCGGCGUGCUUAACACAUGCAAGUCGAACGGAAAGGCCCUGCUUUGUGGGGUGCUCGAGUGGCGAACGGGUGAGUAACACGUGAGUAACCUGCCCUUGACUUUGGGAUAACUUCAGGAAACUGGGGCUAAUACCGGAUAGGAGCUCCUGCUGCAUGGUGGGGGUUGGAAAGUUUCGGCGGUUGGGGAUGGACUCGCGGCUUAUCAGCUUGUUGGUGGGGUAGUGGCUUACCAAGGCUUUGACGGGUAGCCGGCCUGAGAGGGUGACCGGCCACAUUGGGACUGAGAUACAGCCCAGACUCCUACGGGAGGCAGCAGUGGGGAAUAUUGCACAAUGGGCGGAAGCCUGAUGCAGCAACGCCGCGUGCGGGAUGACGGCCUUCGGGUUGUAAACCGCUUUCGCCUGUGACGAAGCGUGAGUGACGGUAAUGGGUAAAGAAGCACCGGCUAACUACGUG